AGUAAUAAUCACCAUAUUAAUCAUUUUACAGACGCAGUAGUUCUUCUGCCUUAGCGUCUCAGUCUGAUUGUAUUUCCAUGAAGAAAUGAUCAUAAAUGUUCUUCCUUGAGCUGCGGCACCCCGCUGUAGUCCGUAAUGGACUGGCCUGAGGUCUCACUACAAACAAGCGUCUGCUGGAAGAGAGUAGGUGAGUUGUGUUUAGUCUCUUUGCUAAAGAAAUGAGUCAAAGUUAAAAAGAUGUUUGGUGUCUAGUACUAUGUCUGUGACCCUAUAUGUCCUGUUGAUGAAGUUAGGUGCUGUUCUGAGCAUUAUUUGUGGCUAUAGAGUGGCGUUUUGGUUGAGCGUGUGGCUCUCUGUAUUGCUAUCCUGCGGUCGUUACUAAAGUUGGUAUAACUAGAGAAGCAAGCGGUCGGUAACAUUCAUCAAUAUCCCUUUAAACGGGUGUUUUAAUCAACAGUUUGUUUUAUUUAGCAUCAGUACAAAACUGAAUUGACGGUUACAGGGAAACUCAAUCCACCUUUAUGUAAUGGGAGCAUUAGACGAACGUCUUACAGUAGCUAUAAAGUGACCUCAGUAACGCAUUACUUUUUGGUUUAAGUAACUGAGUUAUUUUUUUAAUAUGAAGUUACUAGAAACUGUAACUAGUAGCUUUUUACAGUAACUAGAAUACUGUUUAUUGUUAAGUGAUAUCCAC